AGGCCUCUCUUGCAGUCUGGACAAAGCAGUUCUUCCAGAGUGAGGCCUGUCCAUUGCUCUCCAAGCAGGCUGAUCCCUGCGAGUUUCCCCAAAGUGGGAAACUUGACUGGACAAUUUUGUGGUAAGGGGGGGCGGGGACUGCUUUUCUUCUG
rnacentral:snRNA from 1 species